UAUGUGUCAGAUGUAAAAGGCUAUGGCUUAACCAUAGUUGGCAUUUGAAACUGUAUUACUUGAGUGCAGGAGAGGUAAGUGGAAUUCCUAGUGUAGCGGUGAAAUGCGUAGAUAUUAGGAGGAACACCAGUGGCGAAGGCGACUUACUGGACUGUAACUGACGCUGAGUCACGAAAGCGUGGGUAGCAAACAGGAUUAGAUACCCUGGUAGUCCACGCUGUAAACGAUGAGUGCUAGGUGUUGGGUAGCGAUAUUCAGUGCCGAAGUAAACACAAUAAGCACUCCGCCUGGGGAGUACGGUCGCAAGACUGAAACUCAAAGGAAUUGACGGGGACCCGCACAAGCAGCGGAGCAUGUGGUUUAAUUCGAAGCAACGCGAAGAACCUUACCAAGGCUUGACAUCCCCUUGACCGGCACAGAGAUGUGCCCUCUCCUUCGGGAGCAAGGGUGACAGGUGGUGCAUGGUUGUCGUCAGCUCGUGUCGUGAGAUGUUGGGUUAAGUCCCGCAACGAGCGCAACCCUUAUCCUUAGUUGCCAGCAGGUAAAGCUGGGCACUCUAAGGAGACUGCCGAUGAUAAAUCGGAGGAAGGUGGGGAUGACGUCAAAUCAUCAUGCCCCUUAUGUCUUGGGCUACACACGUGCUACAAUGGUCGGUACAAAGGGCAGCGAAGGAGUGAUCUGGAGCGAAUCCCAAUAAACCGAUCCCAGUUCGGAUUGUAGGCUGCAACUCGCCUACAUGAAGUCGGAGUUGCUAGUAAUCGCGAAUCAGAACGUCGCGGUGAAUGCGUUCCCGGGUCUUGUACACACCGCCCGUCACACCAUGGAAGUUGGUAAUACCCAAAGUCGCUGAGCUAACCGCAAGGAGGCAGGCGCCUAAGGUAGGAUCAAUGACUGGGGUGAAGUCGUAACAAGGUAGCCG
rnacentral:rRNA from 1 species